AGAAUAAUGAAAUAUAUAUUACAUGCAAACAAAGAUGAACAUCAAUAGAUGGAAAUGAUUUUAAAUUGUUUACCAUAAGUAAGGCAUCAUUGCCUCCAAGGAUUAUCCUUUUGGUUGGGGCGGGGGAAAACUUGAUAUCUAGAAACUCUAAUUAGGAAUAUGCGCCCCAAGAAAGUAAGAAUAUAGUGAAAACUGAUAUAAGAAAUCCUAGAAUUAAGCUCAAGAGUCAUGAUAGAAUACUCUACAUGCAGAAACAGCCUCCUAUAUCCCUAACAUCAGAUUCCACUAUGCAUAUGCUCAAAAGAAAAGUUCCCCAUGCCAAAUGAUCCCCACCAACACCAAGCACCCCAUGCUCCCUAAUCCUCCCACCAACGCGACCCUAGCCUCCUCUAGUGCAACUCCG
rnacentral:misc_RNA from 1 species